GCAUAUCAAUAAGCGGAGGAAAAGAAACCAACAGGGAUUGCCUUAGUAACGGCGAGUGAAGCGGCAACAGCUCAAAUUUGAAAGCUGGCCCUUUCAGGGUCCGCGUUGUAAUUUGUAGAGGAUGAUUCGGCGAGGGCUCCCGCCUAAGUCCCCUGGAACGGGGCGUCAUAGAGGGUGAGAAUCCCGUAUGCGGUGGGCUGCCUUAGCCAUGUGAAUCUCCUUCGACGAGUCGAGUUGUUUGGGAAUGCAGCUCUAAAUGGGAGGUAAAUUUCUUCUAAAGCUAAAUACCGGCCAGAGACCGAUAGCGCACAAGUAGAGUGAUCGAAAGAUGAAAAGCACUUUGGAAAGAGAGUUAAAAAGUACGUGAAAUUGUUGAAAGGGAAGCGCUUGCAACCAGACUUGUCCGCAGUUGCUCAGCCGGUCUCCUGACCGGCGUACUCUUCUGCGGCCAGGCCAGCAUCAGUUCGGGCGGUCGGAUAAAGACCUCGGGAAUGUAGCUCCUCUCGGGGAGUGUUAUAGCCCGGGGUGGAAUGCGGCCAGCCUGGACUGAGGAUCUCGCUUCGGCAAGGAUGCUGGCGUAAUGGUUGUAAGCGGCCCGUCUUGAAACACGGACCAAGGAGUCUAACAUCUAUGCGAGUGUUUGGGUGUCAAACCCAUACGCGUAAUGAAAGUGAACGGAGGUGGGAACCCGCAAGGGUGCACCAUCGGCCGAUCCUGAUGUCUUCAGAUGGAUUUGAGCAAGAGCAUAGCUGUUGGGACCCGAAAGAUGGUGAACUAUGCCUGAAUAGGGUGAAGCCAGAGGAAACUCUGGUGGAGGCUCGCAGCGGUUCUGACGUGCAAAUCGAUCGUCAAAUUUGGGUAUAGGGGCGAAAGACUAAUCGAACCAUCUAGUAGCUGGUUCCUGCCU
rnacentral:rRNA from 1 species